UUGGAGGGCAAGUCUGGUGCCAGCAGCCGCGGUAAUUCCAGCUCCAAUAGCGUAUAUUAAAGUUGUUGCAGUUAAAAAGCUCGUAGUUGAACUUCGGGACGGGUGGGUCGGUCGUGCCUCCGGUACGUACUGGUUCUACCAGUUCCUCCCUUCUGACGAACCACGAUGUCAUUAAUUUGAUGUCGUGGGGAAUCAGGACUGUUACUUUGAAAAAAUUAGAGUGUUUAAAGCAGGCUAAAGCUUGAAUAGAUUAGCAUGGAAUAACGAAAUAGGACGUUUGAUCUUAUUUUGUUGGUUUCUAAGAUCGACGUAAUGAUUAAUAGGGAUAGUUGGG
rnacentral:rRNA from 1 species